rnacentral:rRNA from 1 species
CCUCAUGGCCCUUAUAGGUGGGGCUACACACGUCAUACAAUGGAUGGUACAAAGGGUCGCCAACCCGCGAGGGGGAGCCAAUCCCAUAAAGCCAUUCGUAGUCCGGAUCGCAGUCUGCAACUCGACUGCGUGAAGUCGGAAUCGCUAGUAAUCGUGGAUCAGAAUGUCACGGUGAAUACGUUCCCGGGUCUU